rnacentral:rRNA from 1 species
UUUAUUGGAGAGUUUGAUCCUGGCUCAGGAUGAACGCUGGCGGCGUGCCUAAUACAUGCAAGUCGAGCGAAUGGAUUAAGAGCUUGCUCUUAUGAAGUUAGCGGCGGACGGGUGAGUAACACGUGGGUAACCUGCCCAUAAGACUGGGAUAACUCCGGGAAACCGGGGCUAAUACCGGAUAACAUUUUGAACCGCAUGGUUCGAAAUUGAAAGGCGGCUUCGGCUGUCACUUAUGGAUGGACCCGCGUCGCAUUAGCUAGUUGGUGAGGUAACGGCU